rnacentral:rRNA from 1 species
UACCAGCACCCCGAGUGGUCGGGACGUUUAUUGGGCCUAAAGCAUCCGUAGCCGGUUCUACGAGUCUUCCGUUAAAUCCAACUGCUUAACAGGUGGGCUGCGGAAGAUACUAUAGAGCUAGGAGGCGGGAGAGGCAAGCGGUACUCGAUGGGUAGGGGUAAAAUCCGUUGAUCCAUUGAAGACCACCAGUGGCGAAGGCGGCUAUCUGGACGGUUUCUGACACUAAGACUCGAAAGCGUGGGGAGCAAACAGG